CAGCAGUGGGGAAUAUUGCACAAUGGGGGAAACCCUGAUGCAGCGACGCCGCGUGGAGGAAGAAGGUCUUCGGAUUGUAAACUCCUGUUGUUGAGGAAGAUAAUGACGGUACUCAACAAGGAAGUGACGGCUAACUACGUGCCAGCAGCCGCGGUAAAACGUAGGUCACAAGCGUUGUCCGGAAUUACUGGGUGUAAAGGGAGCGCAGGCGGGAAGACAAGUUGGAAGUGAAAUCUAUGGGCUCAACCCAUAAACUGCUUUCAAAACUGUUUUUCUUGAGUAGUGCAGAGGUAGGCGGAAUUCCCGGUGUAGCGGUGGAAUGCGUAGAUAUCGGGAGGAACACCAGUGGCGAAGGCGGCCUACUGGGCACCAACUGACGCUGAGGCUCGAAAGUGUGGGUAGCAAACAGGAUUAGAUACCCUGGUAGUCCACACCGUAAACGAUGAUUACUAGGUGUUGGAGGAUUGACCCCUUCAGUGCCGCAGUUAACACAAUAAGUAAUCCACCUGGGGAGUACGACCGCAAGGUUGAAACUCAAAGGAAUUGACGGGGGCCCGCACAAGCAGUGGAGUAUGUGGUUUAAUUCGACGCAACGCGAAGAACCUUACCAAGUCUUGACAUCCCUUGACGAACAUAGAAAUAUGUUUUCUCUUCGGAGCAAGGAGACAGGUGGUGCAUGGUUGUCGUCAGCUCGUGUCGUGAGAUGUUGGGUUAAGUCCCGCAACGAGCGCAACCCUUAUGGUCAGUUACUACGCAAGAGGACUCUGGCCAGACUGCCGUUGACAAAACGGAGGAAGGUGGGGAUGACGUCAAAUCAUCAUGCCCUUUAUGACUUGGGCUACACACGUACUACAAUGGCGUUAAACAAAGAGAAGCAAGACCGCGAGGUGGAGCAAAACUCAAAAACAACGUCUCAGUUCAGAUUGCAGGCUGCAACUCGCCUGCAUGAAGUCGGAAUUGCUAGUAAUCGCGGAUCAGCAUGCCGCGGUGAAUACGUUCCCGGGCCUUGUACACACCGCCCGUCACACCAUGAGAGCCGGGGGGACCCGAAGUCGGUAGUCUAACCGCAAGGAGGACGCCGCCGAAGGUAAAACUGGUGAUUGGGGUGAAGUCGUAACAAGGUAGCCGUAGGAGAACCUGCGGCUG
rnacentral:rRNA from 1 species